GGAGAAGGAAAUGGGGUGCGACUGCAAGGAGUGGCAACGGUUUUAAAAUGCAUCAGCUGGGCAGGAGCCACGGUGAACCGGAACACGUUCAAACGGACUUUUUAAAAGAUUUCAAAAUACCAAGUCAAAGAUCUUGCUUGGAAAGCUAGUUCCCUACUCUGCACGCACCUUGCAGUUACUUUAUCUGCUUUAUUUGGCUGCUUCACUCAUGGGACAAAUAUUCCUGGAGCACCUACUUCGUGAAGGAAACGCAAAACACAUGGCGGGUGGCUGGUUCCAGAAGCUUCCCGGUGCGGGGUGUGGGCUGGAGACGGGCGCUCAGCGGCUGAAGAGCGGGUGGACGGAGAGCCAGGCGCCAGGCACGCAGCCCCCCGCGGGGCUCGGGCAUUACAGACAUCAGGACCCGAGAAAGAGAGAAUCCCAGCAGGCUCCCCACUGAGCUCUGAGUCUCACGUGGGCUCAAUCCCAGGACUCCGAGAUCACAACCUGAGCGGAAGCCAAGAAAGAGUCCGACGCCCAAGCACCUGCGCCGCCGCACAGGUGGCCCCAAAUUAGUAACUCUGAGAGGAAAAGAAGGAGGGGACCGUGCGUGAAGAGGCCGCACUUCUGAGCUGGCCUUGGAGCUCCCGCCAUGGCAGCCACCUCUCCGCGGCCAACGGGAAGCCAGGGAGCGAGAGCUCUCCGGAAAACGGAAUCACAAUAUGCCCCCAAAUCCACCCAGCCUGCCGUCCACUUGGAGCCUCACCUGUGAUUGCCACGUGUCUUUGUCUGGGACCCCGAGGAAGCCAUUCUCUCACCUAGGGGAAAACAGCACAUGAUUAUUUCAGAAUAAACUCAGCAUCUCAGAGUAUUCGUGUGGGCUUGGAGCCGCCCUGGCCCUCGGGCUAGGUUCUGCGUGCAACCGGGCUGCUCUUCCAGAAGCUGUGUGGCCUUUGCUCUGAUUCCUUCUGGAACCAGUCUGUUCCUGAAAAACCUCAAAGAAAUGGGAUCCCAGUCGUCGAUGUGCUUUGAGGCCCCUGUCCCCCUGCUCCUGGGACUCUGGCCGGUUUUACGUUUAAAAACCAUGGUUGCUCCGCAUGUGUAUUUACAGACAUGGGCUGGGCCAGGGGCCGUUAUGGGGCCAAACUUAAUGUUCUCAGAGCUGAAUCAGGUCACUAUGGUCCUAAAACUGACAGAACUAAGUGGAAUUCCUUCUACAUUGGUAUUUGGAGGCUUCCAAGCGCUACCAGGAAUCUAACAUUGCCUCUCUCCAAAAUACAGUUUGUAAACUAAACGAGGCAAGCAAACAAUUAAAAAGGAAAACUGAGGGGUGCCUGGGGGCUCAGUGGUGGAGCAUCUGCCUCGGCUCAGGUCAUGAUCCCAGGGUCCUGGGGUCGAGCCCCAGGUGGAGCU